UCUAUCUGGGUGUUUGAUUUUAGUCUGCGCUGGAUCACUCAGUCUGAGUUAGAAUCAAGACACUACCUGUUCCUGGAGAAUUCUUCUGCUUUGAGUAUAUCUGCUGCCAUCACUGAGAGUUAACGUCUAACUACAGGAUUUGGUCACAUUCUUGGAACAGACUGAACUUUGAGGGACUGGUUUUCUAUGUGAAAUAUUGGCACCCAAUCUGCUGUUAUGG